rnacentral:sRNA from 1 species
CUGUGGCGCAAAUACUCGAAUAAACUACAAAUUUUAAAUAGUAUAUUUCCAGGGAUAGGUUGUCCUGUUCCUCGAAUUCCAGCUGAGGCCAAUCCUUUAGCAGAUCAUGUCUCUGCUACUCGAAUCUUGUGUGGAGCCCUUGUCUUUCCUACUAUUGCUACAAUAGUUGGUAAAUUGAUGUUCAGUAGUGUUAACUCUAAUUUACAAAGGACAAUCUUGGUAAGAUGGCUUUAACAUUACUUAUAUUACCUUGCAAAAGAGAAUGAAGUGUAUUUGUUUUUAAAAGGUGGGGAACUGUAUAAAUAUUCAGUCUGUGGCUCCUAUGCAUUAAGCCUCUAUUUGAGCCUCACUAUCAUUCAAUAGCUUGAGUGGAAAUAAAAAGAGGAGAAACCACUGCAGCAGUUCUGGCCUUUUGGAACUAUGUUGUAGGUGCUUUCUCUCCUGGCAUAUGCAUGAAUCAUCACACCUGUCCCUCUUGCCAGUGGGAUUACAGUGCUUUACAAUCAGACCACCUGGUUCAAAUCCCAUCACAGAAAUUGUCUUGCUGUGAAAUCUAAAUCAAAUGUCUGGACUUUUUGUUCCUGUAGUAUGGUGAUGGUAAUAAUCAGGAUUAUUGUGAGGAUUGUAUAAGUACUAGCACACAGUAAGCACUCAUGUUGUUUGCUAUUAUUGUUACUCCC